rnacentral:rRNA from 1 species
GACGAACGCUGGCGGCGUGCUUAACACAUGCAAGUCGAGCGGUAAGGCCCUUUCGGGGGUACGACGAGCGGCGAGCGGGUGAGUAACACGUGGGUGACCUGCCCUUAGCUCUGGGAUAAGCCUGGGAAACUGGGUCUAAUACCGGAUAUGACUCCAUGACGCAUGUUGUGGGGUGGAAAGCCUUGUGCGGCUAGGGAUGGGCCCGCGGCCUAUCAGCUUGUUGGUGGGGUGAGGCCUACCAAGGCGACGACGGGUAGCCGGCCUGAGAGGGCGACCGGCCACACUGGGACUGAGACACGGGCCCAGACUCCUACGGGAGGCAGCAGUGGGGAAUCUUGCGCAAUGGGCGAAAGCCUGACGCAGCGACGCCGCGUGGGGAUGACGGCCU